AUCCUCCAAGGCUAAAUACUCCUGACUGACCGAUAGUGAACCAGUACCGUGAGGGAAAGGCGAAAAGAACCCCGGCGAGGGGAGUGAAAAAGAACCUGAAACCGUGUACGUACAAGCAGUGGGAGCCCCACCACUAAGCCAGUGGUGAACUCCACAUACGCAUCCUUUGCUGAGGAUACGGUUAACGGAGCGAAAGCGACGUUCAACCUCAAAAGAAGCAGAGGGGGCUUAGUGGUGGGGUGACUGCGUACCUUUUGUAUAAUGGGUCAGCGACUUAUAUUCUGUAGCAAGGUUAACCGUAUAGGGGAGCCGGAGGGAAACCGAGUCUUAAUUGGGCGUUAAGUUGCAGGGUAUAGACCCGAAACCCGGUGAUCUAGCCAUGGGCAGGUUGAAGGUUGGGUAACACUAACUGGAGGACCGAACCGACUAAUGUUGAAAAAUUAGCGGAUGACCUGUGGCUGGGGGUGAAAGGCCAAUCAAACCGGGAGAUAGCUGGUUCUCCCCGAAAGCUAUUUAGGUAGCGCCUCGUGAAUUCAUCUCCGGGGGUAGAGCACUGUUUCGGCUAGGGGGCCAUCCCGGCUUACCAACCCGAUGCAAACUGCGAAUACCGGAGAAUGUUAUCACGGGAGACACACGGCGGGUGCUAACGUCCGUCGUGAAGAGGGAAACAACCCAGACCGCCAGCUAAGGUCCCAAAGUCAUGGUUAAGUGGGAAACGAUGUGGGAAGGCCCAGACAGCCAGGAUGUUGGCUUAGAAGCAGCCAUCAUUUAAAGAAAGCGUAAUAGCUCACUCGUCGAGUCGGCCGGCGAGGAAGAUGUAACGGGGCUAAACCAUGCACCGAAGCUGCGGCAGCGA
rnacentral:rRNA from 2 species